GAAAACUAGGACUUCCACAACUGGAAUGAGUAUUUAUAGAUUGGUUAGAUUCUAAAUCCACAUCCAUGGAAUGAGGUAAAGGUUUCAACAAACUCAAGGAUCUAGGACAUUGCUUAGGUAACUGAAUUUGAUUAUCGACUGACUCCAACUUUUCAUAUUGAAGAUACGGGUCUUUCAGGAGGUCCCUGGCUGACAACCUCUCAGAUGCUGCAACCAAGCAUUUUUCAAUGAAUGUUUUGACUUCAGAAUCCAUAACUUUACUGAGGGAAGCAGGUUUAAUGCCCUGAUAAUGCAUAGUUCUUUGAGAUUGACAGAACGACAUAAUUUUAAACAGAGAAUACAAUUACAGAUUCAGAUUAUUUUAACUUACUGAGCUAACUUUCUUAUAUAUUUGGGCAGGAUUCUUGCACUCGCUGUAUGGGUACUCAAAGGUUACCAUUUCCAACAUGCACAUUCCGAAGGAAUAUAUAUCUACUAGUUCAUUAUACUCUUCUUCGUAGAGCUCUGGGGCCAUAAAUUCAGGGGUCCCUUUUGUAUAGCAAUAA
rnacentral:lncRNA from 1 species